ensembl:lncRNA
CCUGGGUUGGGGUUGGGUUUGUGGUUGGGGUUAAGAGUUAGGGUUGGGGUGAGGGUUGGGGUUGGGGUUGUGUUGAGGUUGGAGUUGUGUUGGGGUUGGGGUUGGCGUUGGGCCGGGAAGGAGAGCUCUGCUUUCACCCUCUGAUUCUCGAGGAAGGAGCAACACUUGAUUUUGUCAGACGCACUUCGGGCCCCCGGCGCUCACAUUUGGUGCCCUCAGAGCGCAUGCAGAAAACCACAGGAUGGAACGUCUGACACAUAACUGUGCAGUGUGCAGCUCUGUUUGCUUCACUGCUGUUUGGACAGCGAUAACACCACUCCGGCAAUGGUUCCUGGAUGGGUGUAUCCCUGCGCUGCCAAAGGGCAAAAGUCGCUUCGAGUCUCAUUAACUAACGAGCCAGCUCU